GGCUCCGAGCCAUCAGCCCAGAGCCCCACGCGAGGCUCGAACUCACGGACCGCGAGAUCGUGACCUGGCUGAAGUCGGACACUUAACCGACUGCGCCACCCAGGCGCCCCCAGAGGCUAUGUUCUUAAUGACUAAAUUAUAUGGCCAAAGGAGUGAGAGAUUAAAUGAAUGAAUGAACGAACAAAUGAACGAAUGAACGAACGAACAGAAUGAAUGACUUCUCUACCAGUCUGGGAGUUCAUGGAGGGGUAGGGUUGUCUCAGUCCCGUGAGUAUGCCUGGAACAAAGCAGGUGCUUAGAAAUGCUUGCAGAAUUAAAUUACAUCCUGCAGGCACCGAUUCUGACAUUUGGUAGGCCCUUUUACCACAUAAAAUACUUCCCUCCUGUUUUGGCCCAUCGUGACCACAAUUAGUUCUCUUAGCCAAAAAAGCCCUUUGUCCCUUGGCUGAGGUUCAGACCCUGCUGCUUUCAGCCAGACUGGGCAACAAAAAAGAGCUUCAGAAGGAAGGACAACAGUCACUUUCUUUCUGCAGGACUCCUCCCAAGCUGUUUAAGCUUCUCUCCGUGUCCCUUGAUUUUAAACCUUUCUGCUUUCUUUGCUCUGCAGGAUUCCAGCUGACAGCCCCAGAGGUGACUCUGGCUGGGAAGUAUCAGGAGAGUAGGGGUAAAAUUUGGGGGGAAUCCUUCCCCCAGAAAAUACUGAUAUGUCAUGGGCUUUUCCCCCCUGCAUUUUAUGAAAGAUAUUCCAGAGCCAGAUAGUGGAGCAGUGUCAAAGGAAAGAGCAAUGUGGUCCCUACAAAACAGCCGUUGUGUAGCAGCAAAUGUGUCCAUGGCAGGUUAAGUCUGGAGCCAGAGCCCUGAAAACUCCUUCUAAUACUGUCACACCUGAGCCUCUGCCCUUAAGGUUUUUCAUAUCAGCACAUGUUGAGUGUCAGAAAACUGCAGGUACCAGCUCUGUCAUGGAUGAACCGUGCCACACUAGGCAAGUCGCUGAGCUUUUCUGAGCACCAUAUUAUCUAUUAAACGGAAAUGCUAAAUCCCGGAAUUCGGAAUGUAACGAGAAAUAAGCAAGAUAUUCAUUACUUUUGUGAAAUCCUUUCUGAUUUUAAUAGUUCGUCUUUAUACAUGUGAUAGUACCUCAUAGUAUUAUAUACAGACACACCCAGAAAGCAGGUAAAAACUGGUGAGAUCUGAAUAAGAUCUGUAGUAGAAACUGACCAAUGUCAAUUUCUUGCUUUUGAUGAGGCCUCUGGUUAUCUAAGAUGUUACCAUUGGAAGAAGCUGGGGAGGGAGACAUGGAAACGCUCGGAAUUAUUUAGCUUUUAUUUUAAAUCUAACGUUAUUUCAAACUAAGAAAUUUUUAGUUCGUUUCUGCUGUUUCCCCCCCUCCCUUUUACACCUUCUGAAUGUUUCCGAUAGAAGUCAGGACUGGGGUAUCUGCUUUUCAGAAGGACUCUGUGCUCCCUGAGGGCACACUUUCUUCUCUGUUAUUACUCACUUGCCUGGCAUAGAGCCUGGCACAGAGUUCGUGUUCACAAAUGUUUACCAGUUCUUUCAGCCCAGAAUAUCAAGAUAAGCAAUCUCUCAUUCUAGAAACUGCUGUCUCUGGAAAUGUUUUAAGAAAAUUCAUGUUUAUUGGGAGCCUUUUUGUGACAGGUAUUUUCUACAAAGUUCUCUUAGUUAAUUCCCAUAGCAACCUUAGGAGGUACCAACUCUAAUUCCCAUUUUACAGAUGAGGGAACUGAGUCUCAGAAAGCUCAAUCUACUUGCCCAAGAGGAGAAGCAUGGAGGUAGAUUCAAGCUUUGAGUUCAUCUGGCUCCAAAGUCCCUUUUAUUUCAUUCAUUCAUUCAUUCAUUCAUUCAUUCAUUCAACUUGUGUUUAUGGAGCACCUGCUAUUGUUGUCAGGGACCAUUCUCAGACCUUAGAAUAUAAUCAGGAGCAAACAGACAAUGAUUGUGGCCUUUGUGUGGCUGACAUUCUAGUGACGCAAUACUGAUAAUACAGAGUAAACAGAAUCUUAACGACCUGUGUGGACACAAACGAGAAAGAAGAGAAGGGAAAGGAAACAGAGACUGUAGGGUCUGGGGGCAAUUCGUAGCACGAGAAAAGAUGUGCAGGGGAGGCCUUGUUGAAAAUACAAGAUUCGAGCAAGGCCGAGUGUGACACAGGAGUGCUGGGGUUACCCAAGCAGAUCUUUGGGAAAAUAACAUUCAGGUAGAGGAACAGCUAAAUGAAAGCCCUCAGGCCAUGGAUAUAGGUCUGGUGUACGUGAGGACAGGCAAGGUGGCUGUUUUGGCUGGGCCAAACACACGUGGGAGGUAGCAGGAAUGCUGAGGGAUGGAGAGCAGAUCGUAGGAGACCAUGAAGAUUGUUGCAGAACUUUGUGGGGACUUUGGUUUUGCUCUGAGAUGGUAGCCACUGCAGGGUUGGAGCAAAGGAGUGACAUAAGUUGACUCAAGCUUCACGGGCUUUCUCCGAUCGCUGUUCAGAGGCCAGGGCUAAAGGGGCCGGGUCGGAAGCAAGGAGACCAGCUGAAAGGCUGUUGCAACAUUCCAAACUAGACGAGCUAGAUGGUGGCUUCGGCAAAGCCAGGGAGUGGAAGAGUCGCCUUUCUCCCCGCGUGGCUUCUCUCACCAGAUGACAGCCGGCCUCUCACACGUGUUUACAGAACCUCAAGCAAUGGCUUUCUCCUGCACAAGGUGGACUUUCCUUUCCCCCACUCCACCUGUGUGGCUGAGAUUCUCAUUCCUUCUGCUCCCCCUGCCCCCUUCUGCUACUUGCCACACACCCGCCCUGUGCCUGGCCCUGCACGUCCCACCCUGUCCCUCUUCUGCCGCCCUCUUUUGCGUCCUGGGACUUGCUCGCGGUGGCCCCGCGGCUUGCUCUCGCCUGUCGGUCUUGGUUGCUUGCUGUCACCUUCUCAGACACCUGUCUGCCCCUGUGUCCCAUCUGUUGUGAAACAAAAGGCCUGAGUACGCUAACGGCUGUGUGCAGGCACACGGCAUGUCCUCCUUUGGUUCACCCCGAAGCCAGAAAGAAGGAUGGCAGACCGACCCCCGGUUUGCACUUCUGCCAGCCGAUGGGAAUCCGAGCCUGGCUUAGGGGAACGUGUGAGCCACGGGGGCAAACACGUGGAGCACGGCACUGAACACGGGGAAGAGAAAAAGGAUUUUGUUCGUGCACGGCGAUGUCAGGCGCUCAGAACCCAGGAUCUUGUGUAGUCUUCCCACGGACUCUGGAUAGGUGCUAUCCUUCCUGCUUUCCAGUGCAUUAUUUCCACCUUACCGAAUCUGGAAAGGAGGCCAAAGAAGUUGCCGAAGAAGUUGGCAUUUUCAAAGCCAAGAGCCCUUUUUCUUCUGCUGCGGGAGCCUUCUGGAUGCUGGUGUAAGUGUGGCCGUGAUGGUUAAUUUUAUGAGUCGACUUGGCUAGAGCCUGACCAUGCUCUUAAGUUGCCUUCAGAGCAAAGACUGAGUUUUCCCAAAGAAGAAAUUCUGCCUCCCGACUACAACAUAGAAAUCCUGCUCGAUUUUCCAGACUUUGGAUUCAAGUGGCAUUGGAGGGGCAUCUGGUAGUUGACUACCGGCUUGGAAGGGAGACCCCAUGGCCCGCUGAGUGUCCGGCUGAGCGUCAAGCUGGGCUACGCAGAAAGGCUGCAGGGUUUUUAGCCGCUUGGCUUUUUGCAGCAGGAUUUUCAUUUUGUAGGACGCAACUGAUUGAGUGCGAAAGAAUAUGAGCGAUGGAGUCAGAGUCCCGUGGUGUGCCUGUGGGCAGAUUCCAGAAAUUCUACGAGCCUCAGUGCCAUCCUUUGAGAACUUUGGACUAAGUUGGAGUGUCCAUACUUUUCUCUGCAGAACACCUCCCCUUUUAUUUACUUUUGCCACACAGAACCUAUGUCUUGAAAGACUUUAUUGCCAAAUAUAUCGAGGGAUAUAGCAAAUAAAGUAAAUAAAAAUUUGCUUUUUAUUAGUUUA